GCUGAAGCCACGCCCCCUUCCGGUUGCUCGCCCUGGUUUGUUACCGGUGUUUAGAACUUCCGGCGUGUUAUCUUGAUUGGCGUCGGGUAGCUACGUUUAGUGUUACCAACGGAAGCUACAGCGGCUGGAGCGGCUCCUGACGUGCUCUCCCUUGUGUGUAUGUGUGUGUGUGCCACGCAGCUGCCCAGAGUGGCAGCGCCAAGGACCCGCUGCUGUUUUGCCUUGCUGUUGUUUUGCUCCACUUUGGCCAUGUAUCUGUGAUGGGCUUGCUAUACGGCUAACUGCAGCUAGCCUCCGUUAUUUCUCUGCCUCAUUGGCCUGGUCUGCUUCCCCUCGGCGUCGGCCGGGUUAGACCAGGCAGCUUGGGAAGGCUGAGCACCUGUGGCAGGGAACGUGGUGUCGUCGGUGGUGGUAUCCCUCCCCGUGUGAUGUGUGAACCCUGGGUAUUUUUCAUUUAAUCCAUCGUGUGUGUGUGUGUGUGUGUGUGUGUGUGUGUGUGUGUGUGUGUGUGUGUGUGUGUGUGUGUGUGUGUGUGUGUGUGUGUGUGUGUGUGUGAUUUUAUUCACCUGGUGACCUCUCCCUGGGCCCUGUUCCUCCCCUCCGGUGAUACAUCCGGCCACGUGAUACAUGGAUGGUCCACAACAUUAAACCAGCU
ensembl:lncRNA